rnacentral:rRNA from 1 species
GUUCGGGCCCUAUCCGUCGCGGGCGUUGGAAAUUUGAGAGGAGCUGUCCUUAGUACGAGAGGACCGGGAUGGACUUACCGCUGGUGUACCAGUUGUUCUGCCAAGGGCAUUGCUGGGUAGCUAUGUAGGGAAGGGAUAAACGCUGAAAGCAUCUAAGUGUGAAGCCCACCUCAAGAUGAGAUUUCCCAUUUCUUUAAGAAAGUAAGAUCCCUGAGAGAUGAUCAGGUAGAUAGGUCAGGAGUGGAAGUACAGUGAUGUAUGGAGCGGACUGAUACUAAUCGAUCGAGGACUUAACCAAU